rnacentral:rRNA from 1 species
UGGGGAAUAUUGCACAAUGGAGGGAACUCUGAUGCAGCGACGCCGCGUGAACGAAGAAGGCUUUCGAGUCGUAAAGUUCUUUUAUAUGGGAAGAUAAUGACGGUACCAUAAGAAAAAGCCCCGGCUAACUACGUGCCAGCAGCCGCGGUAAUACGUAGGGGGCUAGCGUUGUCCGGAAUCACUGGGCGUAAAGGGUUCGCAGGCGGAAAUGCAAGUCAGGUGUAAAAGGCAGUAGCUUAACUACUGUGAGCAUUUGAAACUGCAUAUCUUGAGAAGAGUAGAGGUAAGUGGAAUUUUUAGUGUAGCGGUGAAAUGCGUAGAUAUUAAAAAGAAUACCGGUGGCGAAGGCGGCUUACUGGGCUCAUUCUGACGCUGAGGAACGAAAGCGUGGGUAGCAAACAGG